GCUUGUCUCAAAGAUUAAGCCAUGCAUGUCCAAGUACACGCCUUCACACGGCGAGACUGCGAAUGGCUCAUUAAAUCAGUUAUGGUUCCUUAGAUCGUACAAUCCUACUUGGAUAACUGUGGCAAUUCUAGAGCUAAUACAUGCAACGAAGCUCCGACCCCGCGAGGGGAAAGAGCGCUUUUGUUAGCCCAGACCAACGCGGUCGCUCUCGGGCGGCCGCAACCAGUGGUGACUCUGAAUAACUUUGGGCUGAUCGUAUGGCCUUGUGCCGACGACGUUUCCUUCGAAGGUGUGCCCUAUCAACUGUCGACUGUGAUAUAGACGCUCACAGUGGUUUUGACGGGUAACGGGGAAUCAGGGUUCGAUUCCGGAGAGGGAGCCUUAAAAACGGCUACCACAUCCAAGGAAGGCAG
rnacentral:rRNA from 1 species